rnacentral:rRNA from 1 species
CCAUAGAGAGAUAUGUUCGAUCGAUCCCACACUGACUAGAAAAGCUUCUAGCGAGUUAAUUAAGUGACCGUACCGCAAACUGACACAGGUAGACGGGUAGAAUAUACUCAGGCGUUGAGAUAAUUAUCGUUAAGGAACUCGGCAAAAUGGCCCCGUAACUUCGGGAGAAGGGGUGCCCACGCUGUUAUUAAGAUUUAUCUUAAGAGGCAGAGGUGGGUUACAAUAAAUCGGCUCAACCGACUGUUUAACAAAAACACAGGGCUCUGCGAACUCGUAAGAGGAUGUAUAGAGUCUGACGCCUGCCCAGUGCUGGAAGGUUAACAGGAGGGGUUAGUUCUUCGGAACGAAGCUCUGAAUCGAAGCCCCAGUAAACGGCGGCCGUAACUAUAACGGUCCUAAGGUAGCGAAGUACCUUGUCGGGUAAGUUCCGACGCGCAUGAAUGGCGUAACGAGUUGAGCGCUGUCUUAACGAUACACUCAGUGAAUUUGUAGUGCAGGUGAAAAUGCCUGCUUCCCGCGACUGGACGGAAAGACCCCGUGCACCUUUACUAUAGCUUGACAUUGAUUUUUGGAUUAAUUUGUGUAGGAUAGGCGGGAGACUUUGAAGCCAAGGCGCUAGCUUUGGUGGAGUCAUCCUUGAAAUACCGCCCCUAUUGGUUUGAAAGUCUAACUUCGUCCCGUAAUCCGGGCGGAGAACAUUGUCUGGUGGGUAGUUUGACUGGGGUGGUCGCCUCCUAAAAAGUAACGGAGGCGUUCAAAGGUUCCCUCAUGACGAAUAGAAAUCGUCAGUAGAGCGCAAAAGCAGAAGGGAGCUUGACUGUGAGACAUACAGGUCGAACAGGUGCGAAAGCAGGAUUUAGUGAUCCAGUGGUUCCACAUGGAAGGGCCAUUGCUAAACGGAUAAAAGGUACGCCGGGGAUAACAGGCUGAUCUCCUCUAAGAGUCCAUAUCGACGAGGAGGUUUGGCACCUCGAUGUCGGCUCAUCACAUCCUGGGGCUGAAGAAGGUCCCAAGGGUCUGGCUGUUCGCCAGUUAAAGUGGUACGCGAGCUGGGUUCAGAACGUCGUAAGACAGUCCGGUUCUUAUCCGUCGUGGGCGUAGGGUACUUGAAGGAAGUUGUCCCUAGUACGAGAGGACCGGGAUGAGUCAACCUCUAGUGUUCCAGUUGUUCCCCAAGAGCAGCGCUGGGUAGCUACGUUGAUAAGAGAUAACCGCUGAAAGCAUCUAAGCGGGAAACUCGCCCUAAGAUGAGGUACCCCCUAAUUAAUUAGAUAAGAUCCCUUGAAGACUACAAGGUUGAUAGGUCGGGUGUGUAAGGACAGUAAUGUCUUCAGCUAACCGAUACUAAUAGAUCGAAUGUUUUAACUAC